CAUUUCCAGCAAUUGACUCUAAUAAGCCUGAUUCUUGUUGCAUUUUGGAUAAAGAGAAGGGCCUUGCUGAGGUCAUUUGCAUUUGCUAUGGCCUCUACUCUUGCUCCUCCGGAUGACCUCCACAUUGCUGGCUUCUUGUUGGGUGAAAAUGUAAAAUGAUACAGCCAAUCUGGAGAGCAACCUGGGAAUAACUGGAGAAAUGGCACGUGUGUGCACACAACAAGCUGGCAGUAGUUCUUCCCAGUAUAACCCAUGGCUAAUAUAAAGAAGAUGACAAUUAGCGUGUGGGGAGUCCCCAAGACAUUUUGAUGUUAAACGUGGGUCCUUCUUCUUGACAAGGGAUACACACCUACCUACCGAGAGCCCUCCAAACAGAGACAUCAACACAGAAACCUCCGGAGAGAUAACCAGAUCUCCAUAUGCAAACCCAUGUAAAAAGAAACCUAGAGAAACAGAUGCCCAGAUGAAGAGGGCAGAUGGAGCUAAUGCCUGGAAGGACUCAAUGUGCUUCAGUGGCUGAUGCCCACUCCUUAAAAAACAAAACAAAACCCAAAACAACAAGUGGUAUAGAGAGAAACAAGAAUUACCAAAAGGGAAAAUUACUUGGUCUAGAAUUAUUUUGUGAUUGUCCAAAUACCUGCACCAGUGUCUGACCAAUAACGCAUACUCCGUAGAUAGUGAAUGAAUACAUGUGACAUAAUCUGAUGACCAGACUGUAGCUUGAGUUUAGAAUAGUAAUUCUGUCUGCCUUUUUCUGUUUUGUUUUUCUCUCCUGUCCCUUUGAUCUUUGUAUAUUCCUGUCUUUGGACACCCACCUCCAUCAAAAUGUCAUAGAAAAAUUCUGUGAAACUUGACUGCAGGGUCAAAGUGAUGUCAAAGGGAGGUUUGGGGAGAGGCAUGUGAUGAAAAUAGCCCAGCUGAGGUUCCCAUCUGUUUCCCAUGCCGUAGCACUAUGCCCUAGGCAGUGUUUCUUGAAGUGUUUCCCCAGCGUCUGCAUCAGUAUCAGCUGGGUGGUUUGUCAAAAAUUCCAAUUCCCAGGCCACACCCCAAAGAAUCUGAUUCAGUGCUUCUGGGCUGGGGCACUCUUAAGUAGUUCUGCAAAACACAGCUUGAGAAUCUCACUUGUAGAUUAAGGAGAGUGAACAAUCUUUUAUCCUUAAUCCUAAAAUCUAAGGAGUACUGAAAACUGAAAACUGCUGGGUUUUCAUAGCUCAUUUUGGUGGCAAAAUCUGAUCCAUGAAGUGACAUCACACUAUAAAUGAUCCUUAUUUAUUGCACAUAAUGUGGACAUUCACACACUUUGCUGCAGAAAUAUUAGUGUGUUUGAUUAGAAGUAGCUCUCCCUGACCCUACUGGGAAUGUUAAGGGAUGUAUGGUAUGUACAUUGUGCUGAACUGUCUUUCUAAAAUCCAAAGAAUUCUUUUUUUUUUUUGAGACAGAGUCUCGCUCUGUCACCCAGGCUGGAGUGCAGUGGUGCGAUCUCGGUUCACUGCAACCUCCGCCCCCCUGGAUUCAAGCGAUUCUCCUGCCUCAGCCCCCUGAGUAGCUGGGACUACAGGCACAUGCCACCACACCUGGCUAAUUUUUUGUAAUUUUUUUGUGGAGACGGGGUUUCACCAUGUUAGCCAGGAUAGUCUCAAUCUCCUGACCUCAUGAUCUGCCCGCCUCGGCCUCCCAAAGUGCUGGGAUUGCAGGUGUGAGCCACUGCGCUUGGCCCAAAGAAUUCUUGAAUUCAGAAACACACUUGGCUUUAGGCGGUUCAGGUAAAGGGCACCUGUACUAAAUCCUCAUGUGCAGUCUAUAGGUGGUAUUUGGGUCCGAUUUAAAAAAAAAAAAGCCUAAUAAAAGGAAUGUUAGUUUGGGAGCCAGAAGACUUCAUCCUUCUGGCUUCAAUUCUCUACCCUGAGAAGGAGAUGGCAUUUAAAGUCUUCUGUCUCUAAAAUUUUGAUUUCCACACCUUCUUGCUUUCUUAAGAAAUGUUCAGACAUUACUGCCAUAAAGAUGAGAUUGUUGUGUAUUGUUAUUUGUAUUAAAAAUUUAGAAAGGUGAAAAUCUUUUUCUUUCUCAUAGGUUUCCAGACAGAUUCUUGGCUGACAUUUCUGUCAGUGGUGUGAAAGGACAUUUACCCAGAUUCUAUAGAUAUUUUGGUUAUGCACUCAACAAACCUACAAUGAAACUACCAGAAUACAAAAGCAAUUGUGAACUACAGAGAGUGCUAGAAAACAUUACGGGAGAGGGUAUAGUUUAUGUUAAUUAUAGAGGACUAAAGAGAUGUAGAAUAGGAGAGCUGAAAAAGCCUCCACUUCCAGUGGCUCUUAGAGUGUAAUUAGUCCAAGGGACAGCAAGCUGCCUUCUAGCAGAAUCGUUGUGAUCCCAAAGCCCACAUGACCGGGGCCUCUCUCUGGUCCUUUAUACAGUAAUUAAUAUUUAAAAGAUCUCGCUAAAGCCCUGUCAAGUCCUGAAGCAAGAUUUUGAAAAAUAAAAAAACUCAUAAAACACAAAAUAGAACAAAA